AUGAACGCUAGCUACAGGCUUAACACAUGCAAGUCGAGGGGCAGCAUGGUCUUAGCUUGCUAAGGCCGAUGGCGACCGGCGCACGGGUGAGUAACACGUAUCCAACCUGCCGUCUACUCUUGGACAGCCUUCUGAAAGGAAGAUUAAUACAAGAUGGCAUCAUGAGUCCACAUGUUCACAUGAUUAAAGGUAUUCCGGUAGACGAUGGGGAUGCGUUCCAUUAGAUAGUAGGCGGGGUAACGGCCCACCUAGUCUUCGAUGGAUAGGGGUUCUGAGAGGAAGGUCCCCCACAUUGGAACUGAGACACGGUCCAAACUCCUACGGGAGGCAGCAGUGAGGAAUAUUGGUCAAUGGGCGAGAGCCUGAACCAGCCAAGUAGCGUGAAGGAUGACUGCCCUAUGGGUUGUAAACUUCUUUUAUAAAGGAAUAAAGUCGGGUAUGGAUACCCGUUUGCAUGUACUUUAUGAAUAAGGAUCGGCUAACUCCGUGCCAGCAGCCGCGGUAAUACGGAGGAUCCGAGCGUUAUCCGGAUUUAUUGGGUUUAAAGGGAGCGUAGAUGGAUGUUUAAGUCAGUUGUGAAAGUUUGCGGCUCAACCGUAAAAUUGCAGUUGAUACUGGAUAUCUUGAGUGCAGUUGAGGCAGGCGGAAUUCGUGGUGUAGCGGUGAAAUGCUUAGAUAUCACGAAGAACUCCGAUUGCGAAGGCAGCCUGCUAAGCUGCAACUGACAUUGAGGCUCGAAAGUGUGGGUAUCAAACAGGAUUAGAUACCCUGGUAGUCCACACGGUAAACGAUGAAUACUCGCUGUUUGCGAUAUACAGCAAGCGGCCAAGCGAAAGCGUUAAGUAUUCCACCUGGGGAGUACGCCGGCAACGGUGAAACUCAAAGGAAUUGACGGGGGCCCGCACAAGCGGAGGAACAUGUGGUUUAAUUCGAUGAUACGCGAGGAACCUUACCCGGGCUUAAAUUGCAGAUGAAUUACGGUGAAAGCCGUAAGCCGCAAGGCAUCUGUGAAGGUGCUGCAUGGUUGUCGUCAGCUCGUGUCGUGAGAUGUUGGGUUAAGUCCCGCAACGAGCGCAACCCAUAUCCUUUGUUGCCAGCGGUCCGGCCGGGAACUCAAAGGAGACUGCCAGUGAUAAACUGGAGGAAGGUGGGGAUGACGUCAAAUCAGCACGGCCCUUACGUCCGGGGCUACACACGUGUUACAAUGGGGGGUACAGAGGGCCGCUACCACGCGAGUGGAUGCCAAUCCCAAAAACCUCUCUCAGUUCGGACUGGAGUCUGCAACCCGACUCCACGAAGCUGGAUUCGCUAGUAAUCGCGCAUCAGCCACGGCGCGGUGAAUACGUUCCCGGGCCUUGUACACACCGCCCGUCAAGCCAUGGGAGCCGGGGGUACCUGAAGUGCGUAACCGCGAGGAGCGCCCUAGGGUAAAACUGGUGACUGGGGCU
rnacentral:rRNA from 1 species